CGGCACAACUACACCACACAAAAUCAUGAAUGAAAAUAAACGACAAACCAAAUCCAAGAAACAAUAUGUCUCGCUUUUGUUUCUUCGAUUUCGUUUGUUGUUUCUUUUUCAUGGUUUUGUUCUUUUCUUUUUUCAGACAACUAACACUGAUUUGAUUUUUAGUACGAUAACUAUAGACGUGUGCGUGUGGAAAAGAAAGAAAGAGACCGCAAGAGACAGAGAGGAUGUAUCGUAUCGUGCCGGAAAGGAAAGACAGCAAACUAGAUCCUAUUACUCUUUCUUUCAUAUA
rnacentral:RNase_P_RNA from 14 species